rnacentral:rRNA from 1 species
UCAAAUGAAUUGACGGGGCCCGCACAAGCGGAGGAACAUGUGGUUUAAUUCGAUGAUACGCGAGGAACCUUACCUGGGCUUAAAUGGGAGUGACAGCUGUCGAAAGAUGGUUUUCUUCGGACACUCUUCAAGGUGCUGCAUGGUUGUCGUCAGCUCGUGCCGUGAGGUGUCGGGUUAAGUCCCAUAACGAGCGCAACCCUUACCGUUAGUUACCAUCAGGUUAAGCUGGGGACUCUAGCGGGACUGCCACCGUAAGGUGAGAGGAAGGUGGGGAUGACGUCAAAUCAGCACGGCCCUUAUGUCCAGGGCUACACACGUGUUACAAUGGCCAGUACAAAGGGCAGCUACCGGGUGACCGGAUGCUAAUCUCUAAAGCUGGUCUCAGUUCGGAUUGUAGGCUGCAACUCGCCUACAUGAAGUCGGAAUCGCUAGUAAUCGCGGAUCAGCACGCCGCGGUGAAUACGUUCCCGGGCCUU